rnacentral:rRNA from 1 species
GAUCAUGGGCUCAGGAUGAACGCUAGCUACAGGCUUAACACAUGCAAGUCGAGGGGGCAGCAUGAACUUAGCUUGCUAAGUUUGAUGGCGACCGGCGCACGGGUGAGUAACACGUAUCCAACCUGCCGAUGACUCGGGGGAUAGCCUUUCGAAAGAAAGAUUAAUACCCGAUGGCAUAGUUCUUCCGCAUGGUAGAACUAUUAAAGAAUUUCGGUCAUCGAUGGGGAUGCGUUCCA